ensembl:snRNA U2 U2 spliceosomal RNA
AUGGCUUUUGAGCCUUUAAACCAAGAUUAAGUAGAGUAAGUUUUUAUUAGUUUAAUAUGUGGUGCAAUGUCUAUCUGAGGGGAGCACAAUAAAUGUGUAUUUGGAGCAGGGAGAUGGAAUGGGAGCUUGCUUCCUCUACUUUGUGCAUUGAAGAGAGUUUGCAGUACAUCUUAGAGUGGUGCACAACCU